rnacentral:rRNA from 1 species
AGUCCAACGAGGUUUGCGUCAGUUUGCGGUGGUGCUUGCAUCUCCAAUUACGGAACAAACCGAGUGGCGGACGGGUGAGUAACACGUGGGUAACCUGCCCUUCAGCAGGGGAUCACAUUUGGAAACAGAUGCUAAUACCGUAUAACCACGGAGACCGCAUGGUCUCCGGGUAAAAGAUGGCGCACGCUAUCACUGAAGGAUGGACCCGCGGCGUAUUACCCAGUUGGUGGGGUAACGGCCUACCAAAGCGAUGAUACCUCGCCCACCUGAUAGGGUAAUCGGCCACAUUGGGACUGACACACGGCCCAUUCUCCUACGGGAGGCAGCAGUAGGGAAUCUUCCACAAUGGACGCAAGUCUGAUGGAGCAACGCCCCGUGAGUGAAGAAGGCUUUUGGGUAGUACAACUCUGUUAUUGAAAAAGAACGUGUGAGACAAAAACUGGACCUGCAGUGACGGUAUUCAAUCUCAAAGUCAGGAUAACUAUUCGCCACUGCUCCGAAUUAAAACAUAUGUUGCAAGGCUUGUCCGGAUUUCUUGGGAUUAGAGUGAGUGCCAGCGUUCUUUUAAUUCUGAUGAGGAAGGCUUCCUCUUGCGCUAACAGCGGCAUCGAACUGCGGAAACCUUGAGAGCAUUAGAAGACAUUGGAAAUCGCUGUGAAUCGCAGAAGUGCGAAUAUAGAUGGGAAAACACGUUUGCCAGCCGCAGCUCCAUUGACUGACGCUAAGCCGAGGUCCAAACUCGUGCUGUCCAAAAAGAUAAGAUUUUCAGCGAUACCACGGGGAUACAAUCU